rnacentral:lncRNA from 7 species
ACAGCCUUAUUAAACUUGAAAAGUCUCUGCAUUUGAGUUCCAAGGAGUUCUGGCAAAGCAUGUUGAAGUCUGAGAGUCAAACUCUGCAUGCUUUCUUAACAGCUACAGGAAUUAUACCAUCAUGGUUGGCUCUGCUUCACUUGGCAUUGAGAAGUCAACUGCAGCAGCUUUUCACCAUAGCCCUGCAUCUCAUGGAACCUUUGAACUGCUGCUAAAACAUCAUAAAGUGUAUAAGAGCCACCAGAUGCUAAACAUUUAUACUUAAGGCUGACACUAUCAAUGGCAGUACAAGCCCAAGUGAAGUAGUUGCAUGGGACCUUGCAAAACUGGAACCUCCUAUAACUUCUGCCUAAUUCCCUGCAUAAUUUCUUUCUACUCAUCUAUUAUUGCUGAUAUGCCAACACUACUCCAGUCUUUCACUGGAACCACCUAGCACUUCAUCCAAAGCCCUCCUACACUUUAUUUUUCUAAAAAAUUUUCAAUGAAAAGAGAAAUUCUUUUGCACCUAUAUUUUCUUUAAGAAAUCUGGAAGAAUGACAAUACAUACGUAGGUGAACAGAAAAAUGAGGACCCAGAGAAAAAAACUGUAACCAUUUUAAUUCACCAGUGCACUUUGAAAGCUGCAGUAUCUGACUGGUAAUUAGAAAAGAUGAUGGACCAUUCUUCAACAGUCUUGGCAUGAUUUGCAGGUGAAAAAUUUUAGAAAAAAUAUUUCUGAAUAUCACUUCUCAUCUCCAAAAAAUGUAACCUUGAUUUUAUAAAUUGAAUCCAAUUUAAAAACCAAGUUUUGCAUAAAUGACAUGUGAUGAAACGUCCAAAUUCCUUCCAGAGACAGAAACAGCCCACUUCCCCAGCUGGUAAAAGGAUCACAGUUUCUCACUCAAAAGGGAAGGAUUUUAUGUUAGCUGAUUCACCUAUAUCAAAAUAUCAGAAUGCUAAAUACAAAAAAAUACUACUACCAAAUAAACAGUGGAAGUAUAGAACAUGCAGAAAGCCAUGAGAUGAAAACUUUUUGAAGUACUCCCCAUAGAGAACCAAAAAGGGAGAAGGUUUCUGCAGUGUAGAUCAGACACAUGCCCAGCUGCUCAUAAUUCACACUUUUGGGUGGCAUUAUGCACCUAAGGAGUUACGAGUUACCAUAUGACAUGUCAUCUGAUUGAUGAGUAAUACCCCUUAUAUUGUACCAUUCAAAUUUCAUUCCAUCUGCACCGAU